CCUACGGGGCGCAGCAGUGGGGAAUCUUGGACAAUGGGGGCAACCCUGAUCCAGCCAUGCCGCGUGAGCGAUGAAGGCCUUAGGGUUGUAAAGCUCUUUCGCCGGUGACGAUAAUGACGGUAGCCGGAGAAGAAGCCCCGGCUAACUCCGUGCCAGCAGCCGCGGUAAUACGGAGGGGGCUAGCGUUGUUCGGAAUUACUGGGCGUAAAGCGCGCGUAGGCGGACUGGCCAGUCAGAGGUGAAAUCCCAGGGCUCAACCCUGGAACUGCCUUUGAUACUGCCAGUCUAGAGAUCGAGAGAGGCGGGUGGAAUUCCGAGUGUAGAGGUGAAAUUCGUAGAUAUUCGGAGGAACACCAGUGGCGAAGGCGGCCCGCUGGCUCGAUACUGACGCUGAGGUGCGAAAGCGUGGGGAGCAAACAGGAUUAGAUACCCCGUAGUC
rnacentral:rRNA from 1 species